GACGAACGCUGGCGGCGUGCCUAAUACAUGCAAGUAGGACGCAGUUGCGAACGGGUGAGUAACGCGUAGGUAUCUGCAUCUUAGAGGGGGAGAACUAUUGGAAACGAUAGCUAAAAUCGCAUACUAGUAGAUGGACCUGCGUUGUAUUAGCUAGUAGGUAGGGUAAUGGCCUACCUAGGAGACGAUACAUAGCCGACCCGGGCGGGGGAUCGGCCACACUGUGACUGAGACACGGCUCCGACUCCGACGGGAGGCAGCAGUGGGGAAUUUUCGGCAAUUGGGGGAACCCUGACCGCGCAACGCCGCGUGAGUGAAGAAGGUUUUCGGAUCGUAAAGCUCUGUUGUUAAGGAAGCGGUACUUAACCAGAAAGCGACGGCUAACUACGUGCCAGCCGCCGCGGUAAUAC
rnacentral:rRNA from 1 species